UACCAGCUGUGGUGACAUUAGCAGUUCUGGGGCUUACUUUCUGUGGAUCUUCUCCUGUACUGUGUAAGUGUAUUGCCCUCUGCCCACCUUGAUACAUAAACUUGCAGGAAUGGGCAACCCCUGAGAGCUGUUAACCUUGAUGCUACAGAAAGCUGCUUGCCAUCCUCUUGCUUUGUGACAAGAAGUAUCUGUCAUUUUGCAUUGUAAAUUGCUGGCAAACGCGUUACAGUCAAUAGUGUUGCUUUAAAUUGUGCCCCUCCCAACAUGCUUGAUGUUUGGCCUGAUCUCCAGGCAAAAGGAGUGAGAUGAAGCAAAACCAGUGAACUUUUUUUUUAAUGUUUUUAAUUCCCUUUUAACCCAGUGUACUAGGUCAAUUAGGAGGCAUCUAGGAUUUUUUUUUUAAAAAAAGGAAAAAAUAAAAUUAAAAAAAUUUGAUUUCCAUAUGCCACUGUUUUCCAAAACCCUAAAAUAUUGCAAGAUGUGUCCUGCAUAAACUUUCAUGCUUAACUCAUCUGGAAAAAGAAAUCAGUUAUUCAGAGUUGCUUUUUGACUCUGCCUAGUUCUAAGCAAAAUUGUGACACCCAGAAUUCCUUGAGGAUCAAAAUCCUGCAGAUGCCUCCUGAUCAGACAUAGCCCUAACUCCUUAAAAACUGUAGCAAGAGCUGCACAGUACAAACCCCAAAAAGAAUAACUCAUUUAUCUGGUAGCCAAGCCACAUGUGUCUAUCCAGCCAAUGUUGGUUACUAAAUACAAGGCCUACUUAAGGAAGUAACCUUUUUCCAGGGAGGGGUGGGGGGAGGGAAUUGAAAAGGCAUCAACUUUUGACCAAAAAUCUUGCCCUUGUACUGAUGCAGCUCUCUCUUUCUCCCCCACCUCUGGCGAGAUAAGAGGAAUCAUUCAUUAUAGAAGAAAAACAAGGAACGCUCAUAAAUGAAGUUUUGUGUCUCGCUAGAGUGUGGGUGACUAAGCAGCGCGGUCUUGUUUGCCAUCAGACUGUGCUCUGCCUGGUGCCACGUGCCUGUGGGUCCCUCUAAAAGCACAGACUUUAAAUUGAAAGUAUUACUGAAGUACAGCCUCUGAUGAGGAGUGGCACUUAAAACUAUCUGGGACACCACUAUUGGACACAGUCUUAUAGAGGCAGCUGUCCAGUUUUGGUGCUUGUCUCUUGAAUAGGAAUUGUUAAAUGGAAAGAUGCUCAAAGGACUAGGUCAAAGCCUAGUCUCUUUUUUUUUUUUUUUUUUAAUCGCCCUUACAAUAAGGAGCAUUGUUACUAUUGGAAGUUGUUUUUGUGUUCCUUGCAGUAUUGGGUGUUUAAGUAAUGAUAAUAUUUUUCCACUGGUUCAUUUGGAUGAAAACUAUUUGCCCAAUUUUUAAUAUUUAAAUUACAUUCAGCACCUGGUUUAACCAGUGGUUAUAUAGUUGUGUAAUGGUUUGUGGACUGUUACAUAGCUGGCUGCCUCUGUCCUUCUCUUUUCCUUACAUUCCGAUGGAGAAACUUUCUUGCCUUUUCCCUUAGUAAUGGAAUGGAAUAAAUUUAUUCUAAAAUGAUCUUCCAUGGGAAGAAGGGAGAGAGAAACCUAAAUACAAUCUCUAAAUUAUUUUCAAGUUGGUCCCAGCAUCAUAAUAUGGGUUGGCCCCAAAGACUGGAGGGAGGGGGGAGGCAACUGGUCAUCGAUAUUUGUUUUCAGAAUGAGAUGGGAGCAUCUUUCCUUUGCCAUGUGCUUUGUGUUAGAGACCAUCAUGCUUGGGUUAGAACCAGAUAACCCAGCACAAAGCCUUGAGUGUAAAUUGUUGGAAUCAAAACAUCUCAUUCUGAUAACUUGAUUUUUUUUUUUUUAAUAGGGGUGGGAGGGAGGUUACUUUGCCCCAAAAGGGAGGGUAUCUGCACUAAGGAUUUAGAAACACUUUGGAAGCUCAUAACCUCAUCAGUAACUGCCUUUAGUCACACUCCUGACCUUAUAGAUGAGUAACAAAAGAUGAAAUAAGUUCUUGGGGAUUAAGCCAUGUUAUUUUAAUUUGCUCUUUUUUCAACGUUCUGUGUCUCUUAAGCUGUUAUUGUGGAAUCAUUUUCUGGCAAAAUAACCUUUGUCAAGCAAAAUUAUUGGCCUUGUGGGAGCUGACGUCAGUCAACUUUGGUGAACUUAAGUGGACUUUGGUGAGCUUAGAGUUGUACUUUAUAUCCUUAAAGGUAGUUUUUUAAAACUUCCAAAGAAAACCCACUCUCCUUUCUGAUCUAAAAACUCAUCUUUGGGGUAAAGAGUUCAGUGUCCAAAGGUUGUAACAGUUCAUGAGGUAAGAGGGCGCUAGCCUGGCACCUGGAUUCUGCCCCUCCGUAGCUGACAGAUUCCAACAGAAGUGUGUUUAAAUUCUCCAGUAGACAAUACUGGGUGGGGGGGAGGGAGGGGUAGGGUUGGGUUGCUAAGGUACAGGCUGCUGUACUUUACCCAGUGGUUGUGAGGGAGGGUCCCUGGAGAAAACCAAGUCGCUAGUCCCUUUUUUGAAACAAAAUUAAAACUUGAAAAAAAUGUUUAGUACAAAAUGGGAUAGAAUUUAAUGUCCCUAGCCACAAGGGACCAGUUCCACUGAGAAGUGAACAGUGGGGACUCAAUUUUGAAAACAUUUGGGGAAAGGGAAAAUUGGCUUUCUGUUAAUUGGCAAAUGUUCCAGUGGGGCUGUUUUUGUUGGAAUGUGUUAUGUUGUAUGUACACAUAUAUGGACCAGAGUGUCUGCUGAGUUUAUAAAGUUAAAAGCUGGUUGAUAAAAUCUUGAUUUUUGUUACUUUAUCACAAUAAAAGCCCACUGGAACUUC
rnacentral:lncRNA from 1 species